rnacentral:rRNA from 1 species
ACAGGGAUUGCCUCAGUAACGGCGAGUGAAGCGGCAACAGCUCAAAUUUGAAAUCUGGCCCCCUCGGGGUCCGAGUUGUAAUUUGGAGAGGAUGCUUCGGGUGUGGCCCCGGUCUAAGUUCCUUGGAACAGGACGUCACAGAGGGUGAGAAUCCCGUACGUGCCCGGUGGCCGCCCCCGUGUGAAGCUCCUUCGACGAGUCGAGUUGUUUGGGAAUGCAGCUCAAAAUGGGUGGUAAAUUUCAUCUAAAGCUAAAUAUUGGCCAGAGACCGAUAGCGCACAAGUAGAGUGAUCGAAAGAUGAAAAGCACUUUGGAAAGAGAGUUAAACAGUACGUGAAAUUGUUGAAAGGGAAGCGCUGGCAACCAGACUUGCGCGGGGUCGAUCAUCCGGUGUUCGCACCGGUGCACUCGGCCCCGUGCAGGCCAGCAUCGGUCUGGGCGGCUGGAUAAAGGCCUUGGGAAUGUGGCUCUCUUCGGGGAGUGUUAUAGCCCAAGGUGCAAUGCAGCCCGCCUGGACCGAGGACCGCGCUCCGGCUAGGAUGCUGGCGUAAUGGUUGUCAGCGACCCG